rnacentral:rRNA from 1 species
UACGAGGACGAACGCUGGCGGCGUGCCUAAUACAUGCAAGUCGAACGGUCUUUCUAUGGAAGCUUGCUUCCACUGAGAAGAUAGUGGCGAACGGGUGAGUAACACGUGGGUAACCUGCCCAUAAGAGGGGGAUAACAUCCGGAAACGGGUGCUAAUACCGCAUAGUUUUCUUGAUCGCAUGAUUGGGAAAGGAAAGACGGCCUUUGUGCUGUCGCUUAUGGAUGGACCCGCGGCGUAUUAGUUAGUUGGUGAGGUAACGGCUCACCAAGACGAUGAUACGUAGCCGACCUGAGAGGGUGAUCGGCCACAUUGGGACUGAGACACGGCCCAAACUCCUACGGGAGGCAGCAGUAGGGAAUCUUCCGCAAUGGACGAAAGUCUGACGGAGCAACGCCGCGUGAGUGAAGAAAAGGGUUUUCGGAUCGUAAAACUCUGUUGUCAGAGAAGAACAAGUUGGAGAGUAACUGCUCCAGCCUUGACGGUAUCUGACCAGAAAGCCACGGCUAACUACGUGCCAGCAGCGGC